rnacentral:rRNA from 1 species
GACGAACGCUGGCGGCGUGCCUAAUACAUGCAAGUAGAACGCUGAAGGAGGAGCUUGCUCUUCUGGAUGAGUUGCGAACGGGUGAGUAACGCGUAGGUAACCUGCCUGGUAGCGGGGGAUAACUAUUGGAAACGAUAGCUAAUACCGCAUAAGAGUAGAUGUUGCAUGACAUUUACUUAAAAGGUGCAAUUGCAUCACUACCAGAUGGACCUGCGUUGUAUUAGCUAGUUGGUGGGGUAACGGCUUACCAAGGCGACGAUACAUAGCCGACCUGAGAGGGUGAUCGGCCACACUGGGACUGAGACACGGCCCAGACUUCUACGGGAGGCAGCAGUAGGGAAUCUUCGGCAAUGGACGGAAGUCUUACCGAGCAACGCCGCGGGAGUGAAGAAGGUUUUCGGAUCGUAAAGCUCGGUUGUAAGAGAAGAACGAGUGUGAGAGUGGAAAGUGCACACUGUGACGGUAUCUUACCAGAAAGGGACGGCUAACUACGUG